rnacentral:rRNA from 1 species
GGGCCCGCACAAGCGGUGGAGCAUGUGGUUUAAUUCGAUGCAACGCGAAGAACCUUACCAGGGCUUGACAUACUGCGAAUCUUUUUGAAAGAAGAGAGUGCCUUCGGGAAUGCAGAUACAGGUGGUGCAUGGCUGUCGUCAGCUCGUGUCGUGAGAUGUUGGGUUAAGUCCCGCAACGAGCGCAACCCUUGUUUUUAGUUACCAAUUCGUUGGGUUUUCUAGAAAGACUGCCGGUGACAAACCGGAGGAAGGUGAGGAUGACGUCAAGUCAGCAUGCCCCUUAUGUCCUGGGCUACACACGUGCUACAAUGGUUAGGACAAAGAGUCGCGAGCUCGCAAGAGUCAGCUAA